AGAAAGACAUUUGCAUUAUUAAAUAUCUUUAAAUUAAAGAUUCCAUUUGUUAUUCUGUAAGGAAUCAGAGAAAGUGUUUUAUAAAAUGUUAGCAUGGAGCAAAGAUAAAGGACCAAAAAAAUAAGUUUCAUCCUCUGGCUACGACAAACAAUAAAGAAAUAGCAGAAAUAUAUGCAUCAAAAGACACAAAACAGAAUUAUAGUUGUCAGUUACACUGGAUGAAAAAAAAAAAAGAGAGAAAAAGAGGACUGGUUUAUAGAUGCAAUAAUACUUUCCUUUUGGUAGAGCAGAUAAGACCUAAAUUAUAACAUCUAAAUUAACUCAUUUCAAAGAAAAAGAAUUGUUGAUACAAGUACCAUUUUAAAGAUUAUUUGCUAAGAAGGAGAAAACAUUCAAAUCAAGUGUCUGAGCACCUUUUUACAGGCUUUUUUUCCCCUCAUGGUUCACCAAAAUAGAUGCAGAUGUGAUGCUUAGGGGCUUAGUGGUGGACUUGAUCUUGAUCUAGUAAUAGCCAUAGUGUACCAUUUAUAUUGGCUGCUCUGUUAAAAUCUUCAGUCAUUGGAAUAGUUAUUGACCAUUAGCAGAUUAGAUUAUUGUUUCCUUUUAUUAACUUACUGUACUGCUUUUAGUAUCUUAUUUGCUGCUCGUGGUACCUCUUAGGAAUCCUAAUGAUGUAUGAAGAAUCAUAAGGCCCAUCUCACCACUGUAUUACCUAUCUGCAAAGAUGGAAGAAUUAGAAAUCUUGGCUGACAAUUAGGAUUGAAGGUGAACCUUAAAAGCACUUACUUAAGUACUGAUGCGUAGCUCAUUCACCCUCUUGUCCACAGUGUAAGUUCUCUCUUGACCAUUGUAGGGGGAAAGCCAACAACACUCCUUUUGUUUUACAGAUCUUUAUACGACUGUGACUGGUUAUUUCAAACUACAUAUUUAUUUUUUGGAAGAACUUCAUUUUCCUAGAGGACAGUCUGAAAGGCUGCAUUAUCACCUCUCUGCCUCAUAAAGAGGUGGAAAAUGCUUGCAAGAUCACAAAGAUUUUCUAAAUCCUGUGUCUGUCUUUCAUACACUUUUUACCUGCUGCUGCAUGUGAGGAAAUACAUCAAGCAACAUUUCUGCUCCAAAAAAAAAAGGGACAAAAAAGAAAAGUUCACUUGGCCUCAGAUAAAGAGACCAAAUGAAAAGCAAAAAAAUAUCAGAGUUUUGAAACAAAAAUCUAGCACACAGUUCUGGUGCUGAUUACUGGUGAAGUUGGAUUUAUGCUGAAAAUAUUUGCUAAUAUAGUUAAACCUGUGCAACUUUCUUUGUCACAGGAUUUCUCUAUAUUUGUUUGCAUAUUCCAGUCUUGCUGUUACAGUUAACUUAUCUGGAGCAAGUAAACUAUACAGGAAAUAAACAAGUUAAGAAAAGAUGUAAUGAAUAUAUAUUUUUUCCUUGUAUUAAUUAUUUCUGGCUCUGAAAGCAAAUUAUUGUAAAACAUUUCACUUCACACUACUGUUCUGGUGUUGGCUAGAGUUUGAGAACAAUAAGGCAGAAUAAUUUGGUUCUUCAAAUACAUUAUGCGCUGUAGAAUUUCAGAGCAUCAAAUCAAAACAUUUGAAAUAGAUGUUUUGCACUAAGCUCAUCUGUCAAGCUGAGAAUGGCACUUAGCAAUACCUCAGUGCUAUGUGUAAAUAAGAUUAGAAUAUGUGUUCUUUUAACAGAGUUGCACAACUAUAUAGAGAUUGCAAAUAAAUUAGAACUAUGUGAUCUAAAACUCAGUUCCAGGUUUGACAGGUUCAAACUUGUUAUGAACUACAUACCUUCAAAUUAUAAAUCUAGGUUGUAAUUGAAAAAUCUUCUGACAACUUCUCUCAGAUCUAGAGAGAAUUUAUGCCUGAUUAGUAAUGGAAGGUAGUUUUUGAUCUUCCUCAGUAGUACACACUUUAGCAUUCUCUGACAGAGAGAGAACUGGAAGAGUUGGUGGAACAGACCUGAAAGGAGAUGGAGAACUCAGCCGGGUAAAUGCAAUUAAACCUCACAACUAAUAGGGGAAUUAGUUGCUGAGCAACAACUAUGGAAACAUAUGGAACACAAGCUGUAUUUGCCAAGUGAUCAAGGCAAAAUGUAGAGCUAUUAUAGAGACUAACCUGAGUGCCAGUUUAACUUAACAGCAUUUUUAACUGCAACAUUCGUUUUUAAAGAACAGAGUUUUCUUUCAGAAUUAAAUUAGAUCAAGUUACGAAUGUAAGUUACAGAAGACAGAGAAAGGGGAGAUGGCCAAAGAGACUAAUAAAAGCUGGUUCUCUGCCUGCCUUUAUCAAAUGGGAGUCUACACUGCUGAUCACUGGCAAAUUAUCCAAAGAAGCAGAACAAAACUUGCCUGUUUCUUUUCUGGCAGCAAGAAAAUGUGCCUUCCUGUGCACUUCUCUUAGUUUCUUUUGACUUCAAAUUUCUUCUGUGCCAUCGAAUCUAAGUCCAAGAAAAUGUCCGACUCCAUCCUUUCUUUCAAGUACUCCAUAACAGCUUUUGUGAGUCUAGUAUUUUUUGUUCCUCAGAUUCCUGUUUCAGAUGAAACAUUGAGCAUUGCAUUAGUCAAUUCAUGGGCAAAACAGGCCAUAUUAAGAUUCAGAAAAUGUCUGAGUUCCAGUACCUAGUGCUACAUCCUUUCUUUCCUAAAAAUGGAAGUAUCAUAAUCUUUAUCAUAGGAAGGUUUAGGAACUAGCACAACCAAUGAAAGAGAAAAUUCUUAGUGCAUGCUUAACUCAAAAGCCUUGUUAAGAAUCCAAACUUUUAGUUGUGUAUUUUACACACCACUACAUGAAUUCCCAAUUAAUUCAGUCAGUCUUUUCAAACAAGUAACAAAGAAUAAUCACUUACUGAAUUUGAAUGAGUUUGAGAAUUUGUAAAAUAUUCACAAACAGAAGGACUGGAUGCAAUCUUUCAGAUUCUGAGGUCAUAGCUUUGGACUCAACACAAGAUAGCAAGUCUGGAUAUAAGCAGAAUUAUACCAUAAGAGCUUAAAUAUUAUAUCAAAUGAGUUUGGAAGCUGAAAUCCAACCAAUUCUAGCCUCUGUUAAUGGAAUUUCACCUCCCCCAUUGAAUGUCUGUCUCUGCCUGGCAGUACUAAGUGUUUGAAAAUGCAGCACCUAGGGUUCAAAUUCCUCCUGAGAUUUUAAAAUGCCAAGGUGAUGCAAUCUCAGCUCAAGCUUCUGCUAUUUGUCAAGAAGUGCCUAUGUCAAUCAUGCUUCUCAGAAUAAGAGGAGAGAGGGAGAAAAGGAUCCUGUGAAACGUUUGAAAAAUGCAGUUCAAGUUUGCCUAGCCAGAUUUUAUGUUUAAUUGAAAUACUUUGAAGAUCUUAAAACUCUAACAAAGUUAUUAACAAAAUAGAGUAAUAUUUAAAAUUGGAACUGGGUAAUCUAGAUAAUGAUAUAGUCUUCUUUUUUCUAAAGCAUUUUGGGAAAAUUUAUCAGGGCUGAUCGUGAAAAAAAAAGCAGGAAAGUGGAAACACUAUCAAGGACUGCAACAGCAGGUCCACAGUCUAUUUUACCCUUCUUGAGACUGCUAAUUGAUCAGCGCACUGUUACCUACCUUUAGUGUCUUGCAAUAUCGCACAGCAUUAUAUUUGAUAAAGAAAAAGAUUAGCAUUGAUGCUACAAAUUAUUCACAGGGAAGGGCAAAGCUACGCAUAUCUAACUAAAUCUUUCCCAAUCUUUCUAUAUCUUUCAAAAACUAAUAUGCUGCUAGCUCAGAGAGUUGUUAUUAAGUUGGUACUCAAUGACCUUUAUUGGCACAAAGGCAUCUAUGCAGAAACUAUGCAAGUUGUACAGUCAUUUUUUUCCCCUACAUAUAGGACCUGCACUAGAAAAUGGGAACCACCUCCAACAAGAUUAACUGUUGGACGUACCUGUACGUGAUUCAGCAUGAGCUAUACUGGGCUGUAUCUGUGUGUAUCUCUGUACCCAUAUGAACGUAAAUAUGCUUCUGCAUUCUUAUCAGACCCAACCUUAUUCUAUUUACUUCUCCCUUCUUACAUCCUCUUGCCAAAAGACAAAGUGAAAAAGAAGUAGAAAUUGCAUUGAUUAACAGGGGAAGAUUAUACUUGCUUUGCAUACUGUUUAAACAUUAGGCUUAUUGGUUUUCUGAGGAGUUAGGAGACACACAAAUCUAGCCAUCCUGUUUGGAACCCUCCUCUCAAACAGUGCACCCUGUAUAUGCUGAAGUGCUGCUAUUACUCUGUUAAACUGAACUUCAUUACAUAAGUACGAAUUUUAUUUUCAUGAGCACAACUCAAGGACAUAUGAAUUGGUCAUUUCUCAAGUUGAUAAGCAUCAUGUUUCUGAAAUUUGUAUGUCUCUGUCGUGCAUUCUGAAUUGAAUUGCACUUCUGUUACACGAAAAGAAUAUGAAAUGCCACUUAAAUGUGGUGAUGGAAAAUGCUGGGUUUGGUUUUAGUUUUUUUUAAACCACAUCUAGUAAAUAACUUGCCAUAUAGUGAUUUAGAAACUAUUUUUGGAAAUGAAGAUGUAAGUACUGUGUAAUAAAAUCAAUUGUGACUUAGAGGCCCGAGGAGAAUAAUUACAGUUUGUCCUACUCACUAUAACUUCUGGGUUUUGGUGAUGAUUAGACCUCUCUUUUGAAGGGAUGUCUUCUGUGCAUCCUGUUCAGGAGAAUCUGGUUCUCAAUGAACAGUUUGAGGCAAUUCUCAAACUCUAAUUCUUCUAGGUCAUCAUCCCAGAUGUAGAAGAUGUUUAGGGACUGUUUAUUCAUAAGGAGGACCUGGAAAAUCCUUCUUACAAAGGAAUUUUUAUUGCAGAAUUACAAUCUGUCUUAAUGGUGCAACAGAUGCUAUCUCAUUAGAUGUUUGCAGUUUAUUUUGUCUUGUAUGUUAUGUUCUGCUAAAAAGAAAAGGAGAAAAAGAAUGAAUGAGAAGAAGAAGCCUGCAGUAAAAGCAGAGAAUGGGAGAUUACUGAGAAGAUCAGGGAACAAAUAUAAAGCCAACUCUCCUAACUGAGUUUAAAAAGAAGUUUUUUCUAAGGAUCUAAAGGGACUUGCCAAGUUUACUGCAACCCAUGAAAGACUGUGGAGAAAAGAGCAAACACGGAGGGCAGGACUAUGUUUUGUAGGAAAGAAUGAGUAGGAAACUUUCAUUUAAUAAGAACUUACAUUUCUCUUUUGUCUUAUACUACAUUAUUGUUUUUAAAAAGUGAAUAGUUCUGAUGUUUGUCUAAAUGCAAGUUAGUUUUGAGUUUAUAAAAAGAAGAGAUGUAUAGUCCAACAUGUUCCUGUGGGUCUCAGCAGGAGUCAGUGUGGUUUAGAUGAUGGAGACUGAUUCCAGGAAACAAAAACUAGUCUGACAUUAUUUUGAAGUUAAAUGUCAUGGAGAAAGAACAAGAUAUCCGGACUAAAAUAAAAUCAGUUUUUCAAACUUAAAAUCCUAGCCUAUCUAGCUGUUAAUAGAAUAAUCUGGAAGUACCUAUUCUUUAUGGGCAAAAGAACUAGAAAUUCAGACUGAUCAAUGUUAUUCAUUUUUAGUUUUUGUUCUAAGGAAAACACUCAACGUAAGAACAUAUUUCCUCUAUGUACUUUACAUUCCUUUCAAAUACACUCACAAAGCUCUAAACCGAGCUAAUCAAACAGCUACAUGUUCAAAGUUAACAGUUUGGAAUGCCAGCAUUUAGGCUUUACAAAAGACCCUAACUCGAUUCCUAAGACAUUAAAAUAUAAAAUAUAAUGAUGUAGUUAUUUUAAAAUCCUUGAGAUUUGCAGGGUUCAACAUUCAGCUCUUUGCUACAAACCUCACAGCUUUUCUAGCUGAAUACUGGUUACUGGAUGUUUCCUCUCUUCCCUUCUUUACUAACUGCUAAAACAAUUCACACAGUCACUAGAUGUGCACUUUGUCAGCCCCCUGAUAUGGUGAAAGAAUGCAUUUGUGUGCUGUCUGCUGCAGGAGGAUUGCUCCACACACAGGAAUGUAAUGCUUAAAUCAGUGGUGCUGCAUUAGCCUUUUAUGUACUUUAUUAUUUUCUUUGUUCCUUGAAAACAAAAUUUCAAGUCUGACACUGGGGGUAUAAGUAUACUAAUUUUAGUAAAUUUUAUGUCUUAUUUA